GGAGCUUCAGCACAGCCACACGCAGGAGGAGACAGAGACCGGCGACGCACGAGGAAAAACAUAGCGUUACGGGUUUCAGCCAUGGAGGAAGGAGCGACGUUUGAAGGCUUACGAGAGAGUGAGCAUGACAGAGGCUUUGAGACGGAGGGAGCGUCGAUGGAGGGAGCGGCGAAGCAGGGGUUGGAAGCGCGACGAAGUUCUGGAAUUAGGGUUGGAGGCGCGACGAAGCUCUGGGGUU
rnacentral:lncRNA from 1 species